rnacentral:rRNA from 1 species
CCUACGGGAGGCAGCAGUGAGGAAUAUUGGUCAAUGGGCGUAAGCCUGAACCAGCCAAGUCGCGUGAGGGAUGAAGGUUCUAUGGAUUGUAAACCUCUUUUAUAAGGGAAUAAAGUGCGGGACGUGUCCCGUUUUGUAUGUACCUUAUGAAUAAGGAUCGGCUAACUCCGUGCCAGCAGCCGCGGUAAUACGGAGGAUCCGAGCGUUAUCCGGAUUUAUUGGGUUUAAAGGGUGCGUAGGCGGCCUUUUAAGUCAGCGGUGAAAGUCUGUGGCUCAACCAUAGAAUUGCCGUUGAAACUGGGAGGCUUGAGUAUGUUUGAGGCAGGCGGAAUGCGUGGUGUAGUGGUGAAAUGCUUAGAUAUCACGCAGAGCCCCGAUUGCGAAGGCAGCCUGCCAAGCCAUGACUGACGCUGAUGCACGAAAGCGUGGGGAUCAAACAGGAUUAGAUACCCCAGUAGUC